rnacentral:rRNA from 1 species
AUGAGCAGCGAGCUGCCGCCGCCGGCGGCGGCUGCGCCAGCAGCCAAACCUCCGUCGAUCCCCUCCACGGCCACCACCACCACCACCACCCUCGCCACCGCCGGCGACGGAACCACAACCAUAUCCUCGCUGGGCCAAGACCAGCUCCUGGAGAUCUUCCUCCGGCUGCCCAGCCUGCCAGCCCUCGUCCGCGCCGCGCUCACCUGCCGCUCCUGGCUCGGCGCCGUCCGCUCCUCCCGGCCCUUCCGCCGCCUCUUCCGCGCCCUCCACCCGGCGCCCCCCCUCGGGAUCUUCCUCGAGGUCGACGACAGCACCGCCCCCUCCUUCGCCCCCUUGCGCCGCUCAGAUCCGGACGUCAUCGCCGCCCUCCGCCGCGGCGACUUCUUCCUCACCUCCCUCCCGCUGGGCGACGUCGCGCCCAGGGGCUGGACCGUCACGGACUGCCGCCACGGCUACAUCCUCUUGUGGAACACCUUCCGGGCCGUGGCCGCGGUGAACCCCAUGACCUGGGAGGUGGACACCAUCCCGGUGCCCGACGACGUCGUGGACGGGGGUACCAGCGAAUUCGCCUUCCUUAGCUUCCUAUUGCUGUCUUCCGAGGAGAACCCUAGGUCGUUCGGCGUGGUCUGCGUCUGCGCCGACGUGUCUAGGGUUCGCGCCGCCGUCUUCUCGUCGGGGACGAGGGAUUGGGUCAUCCACCCAUGGGCGGAAAUCGGCCGUGAGUAUGGCCUAAUGUACGGUGCUAACACGCUGGUGGAUGGCUCCGUUUACUGCCCUUUCUAUGAGGGAAGAAGUGUGAUUAAGAUAAACACAGCCACCAUGGAUUUCUCCUCUCUGGAUCUACCCUCGCGGGUAAUUGAUUACGGACAGGCGGAUUUCAUCGUUGGGGACACUAAGGAUGGAGAGCUCUGCAUGCUAUAUGCAUCUGAUGAUUUUUACCUCCAUGCUUGGAUCCGUGGUGUGGACGGUGAUGGAAUUGGGAUUUGGGUGCCGCAGCUCAUACUCUCAUUGAGCGCAGAGAUUGACCGGACGAGUGGGGAAUCGGAGGGCAAACUCAGAGUUGUGCAAGCUAGGUCUGGAUGCGUGUACUUGUACUUGACAUGCAUAACCCCUGCUGGCACACAACGCAGCUGGUUAUUCUACCAUUCAUUGGGGACCACGGAGAUUGAGUUACUGAUCAAUGGGACAUUUGAUGACUAUGCCUAUCCGUAUAUUAUGGCCUGGCCUCCUUGUUUGAUUGGUGAUGAUGGGGCCACUGGGCAUGAAGUUGAAGGUUCUCACUAA